GACCCCCUAGCUCACUAUGGAUAGAGCGACAGCCUCCUAAGCUGUAGGUAGCGAGUUCGAACCCCGCGAGGGUCA
rnacentral:tRNA from 3 species